UGUAACUGACGUCAAAGUUACUACCAGAGUAAGCCUUGCUGCUGUUGUCUUCUAGUCAAUGGGAGCAUGGUCUAUACUCGUUACUUUGAUUAACUUAGAAUGUUAAUAGUAAAGCUAAGUGCAGCUUAAUAAUCCACCUUGGAAUAACAUGAAGAACUAAAAACUCUUUAUGUUGGUACAAGAGUCUAAGAUAUGGUUAAUAGAAACAGUUGGGGGUAUUCGUACUUGGUAGCUAGAGGUGAAAUUCUUAGAUUUACCAAAGACGAUCUACUGCGAAAGCAUCUACCAAAGAUGUUUUCAUUAAUCAAGAACGAAAGUUAGGGGAUCGAAGAUGAUUAGAUACCAUCGUAGUCUUAACUUUAAACUAUGCCGACUUGAAAUUGAAGAGUGUCUACUUGAUGACAUCUUCAGAGCCUAAUGAGAAAUCAAAGUCUUUGGGUUCUGGGGGAAGUAUAAUCGCAAGAUUGAAACUUAAAGGAAUUGACGGAAGGGCACCACCAGGAGUGGAGCCUGCGGCUUAAUUUGACUCAACACGGGAUACCUCACCAGGUCCAGACAUAAAGAUGAUUGACAGAUUGCAGAAUCUCUCUUGAUUCUAUGGGUGGUGGUGCAUGGCCGUUCUUAGUUGGUGAAGUGAUUUGUCUGGUUAAUUCCGAAUACGAACGAGACUUCGACCUGCUAAAUAGCAGUUGUAGUGAAUACUACAAUUUUGCUUCUUAGAGGGACUUUGUG
rnacentral:rRNA from 1 species